UGGGGAAUAUUGCACAAUGGGGGAAACCCUGAUGCAGCGACGCCGCGUGGAGGAAGAAGGUCUUCGGAUUGUAAACUCCUGUUGUUGGGGAAGAUAAUGACGGUACCCAACAAGGAAGUGACGGCUAACUACGUGCCAGCAGCCGCGGUAAAACGUAGGUCACAAGCGUUGUCCGGAAUUACUGGGUGUAAAGGGAGCGCAGGCGGGAAGACAAGUUGGAAGUGAAAUCCAUGGGCUCAACCCAUGAACUGCUUUCAAAACUGUAGUUCUUGAGUGGAGUAGAGGUAAGCGGAAUUCCGAGUGUAGCGGUGAAAUGCGUAGAUAUUCGGAGGAACACCAGUGGCGAAGGCGGCUUACUGGGCUCUAACUGACGCUGAGGCACGAAAGCAUGGGUAGCAAACAGGAUUAGAUACCCUGGUAGUCCAUGCUGUAAACGAUGAAUGCUAGGUGUGGGGGGACUGACCCCUUCCGUGCCGGAGUUAACACAAUAAGCAUUCCACCUGGGGAGUACGACCGCAAGGUUGAAACUCAAAGGAAUUGACGGGGGCCCGCACAAGCAGUGGAGUAUGUGGUUUAAUUCGAAGCAACGCGAAGAACCUUACCAGGUCUUGACAUCUGGCUAACGAAGUAGAGAUACAUUAGGUGCCCUUCGGGGAAAGCCAAGACAGGUGGUGCAUGGUUGUCGUCAGCUCGUGUCGUGAGAUGUUGGGUUAAGUCCCGCAACGAGCGCAACCCCUGCCGAUAGUUGCUACGCAAGAGCACUCUAUCGGGACCGCUACCGACAAGGUGGAGGAAGGUGGGGACGACGUCAAAUCAUCAUGCCCCUUAUGACCUGGGCUACACACGUACUACAAUGGCCGUUAACAGAGGGAAGCAAGUCCGCGAGGAGGAGCAAACCCCUAAAAACGGUCCCAGUUCAGAUUGUAGGCUGCAACUCGCCUAUAUGAAGUUGGAAUUGCUAGUAAUCGCGGAUCAGCAUGCCGCGGUGAAUACGUUCCC
rnacentral:rRNA from 1 species